UACGUAGGGUGCGAGCGUUAACCGGAAUCAUUGGGCGUAAAGAGCGUGUAGGCGGUUCGGGAAGUCGGCUGUGAAAGUCCAGGGCUCAACCCUGGGAUGCCGGUCGAUACUGCCGGACUAGAGUUCGGAAGAGGCGAGUGGAAUUCCCGGUGUAGCGGUGAAAUGCGCAGAUAUCGGGAGGAACACCUAUGGCGAAGGCAGCUCGCUGGGACGUUACUGACGCUGAGACGCGAAAGCGUGGGGAGCAAACAGG
rnacentral:rRNA from 1 species